AAAGUGGAGAAGGGAAAGAGCAAUGUGAAAGAGGAGAAGCUAAAGCAGCAGCAGCAAGCAAAUGCAGCAGUAGUAAUAGAAGAAGGAGAAACAGCAGAGGAGAGUGAGGAUAAACAGGAAAAUGAAGGGAGAGAAGGAAGAUAAGAACAAGGAAAAAAAGCUGGAGCAGUGUUUUAUUGGCGGUUUGAGACCAUCCAGAUAUCUCUCUCUGUGCACAGGAAUGAACAGCACUCCAGAUGGUGCAGCUCCGUCAGCCUUGAUGCCCAAUUGUACACAAUGAAUGGACUUCCCACCUGGCUAUAUGUUAUAUGCUCAAACAAGAAUGACCAUACAGCAUUAAUGACACAUAUAACUGCUACUUACAGACAAUUGGAUUUGUGCUUUGUAUUUUAUGGAUGUAUAAACUUACCCAGGCUGUCUGAUCCACCCCCUUCUCACAUUUAGUUUAAUAAAAAAAUUAGAAGCCAUCAUCUAAGAAACCCAUGCAAUCCUUGUUUGUCUCUGAAGCAUCCAUGUAUCUUCCAUUCUGUGUGAAUUUAAUGUCACCUGUACUCCUGGUUUUACUUACUUAAUUCUCUUGGCACCCUCAUUUUAUCAUUGUCUAUCUUAUCUAUGUAACCCAUCCCUUCUAUUAUAUUUAGAUGACUAAAAGUUUGUUUCUGGAACUCUAUUCUGUUUCAUUGUUCUAUUGGUUUAUCUUUGCACCAAUCCCACAUUGUUUCAAUUACUCUAGAUUUUUGACAAGUCUUUCAAUAUAGCAGUAUGUUUAAGUAAAUUAUCAAGCUUAGGGUUCUUUUUUAAGAUUUUUUUUUUGGCUAUUUUUGGCCCUGGGUAUUUUCAUAUGUAUCUUAGAACCAGUAUGUUGAUUUUGGCAAAUAUUAUUAUUCUGGGUGUGGCCUAUAGUUGAAUUUAAAAUAAGCAUCUUUAUAUCAUUGGAUUUUCUAGUAUAUGAAUGUAAGAUACAUUCUUAUGUUUACUUUGCUCCUCUUUAAUUUCUCUCAUCAAUGUUGUGUAAUUUUCAGGUACUGACCUUUCAUUUUAUUUUGGCUGUUUAAGGCUUUGGUGUUUUUUGU
rnacentral:lncRNA from 1 species